ACAAACGCAUAUCCCCUGUUUCUUUUAAACUUUAAAACCCCACACCACUAUUUAUCAUCUUUUCUGAUUUCUAAAAAAAAGCCACUGAGUCAUGUUCGAGUAGUACCGAGUUAAUGAGUCGAGUUGUGUUUAGCUCUAAGUCAUCUGUUGAAUUCGAGCCUGUUUUGUUUUCAUCGAGCCACACCACCGAGUAGCAGUUUGUUUUGCGAUCUUGUUGUUCUGUAGAAUUCUGUUUGCUGCACUACCGAGUCAUCUACGUUGAUUGUUGCUGGGUGUAGUUGUUUGGUUUGUUUUGUGAAUGUUGAGUAGAGUUUGCAUCAACACUACCGAGUUGUGCACUGAGUCGAGUCUGAGUCAUUGGGUCGUUGUCUGUUUAUGAAACUGAGUUCUACCUUGUUCUCGAUUUACCUUGCUGGGUUUCGUUUGUUUUUAUUGUUUUGAUUAUUGCUGAGUUGUUGGGUUGUUUGAUUUUGCUCUACUACUGUAGUUUUGUUUCAGUCGAGUUCUGUCAAGUCUAUGUGAGUCCGUUUGUUUUACUUGUAAACCGAGUUGUAUGCCUUUUGUUGAGUAAAUAGGAGUUCUGUUACCUAAGUAGUUCUUUUUGCCGAGUUGUUGGAUUGAACCGAGUCACUGGGGCUGGGUCUUGAAUUAGUCUGCUACUGUGCUUCGCUGAGUUGUGUUACUCUUUUUGCUUGAUUAGUUUGAGUCACAGAUUAAGUAUUUGGUUGAUUUUGUUGGUUUGAAAAGAUGUUGUGAUUUGGUGAUUCUAAUAUUGUUCGAUUUAUGAAUUGAUUUUGUUAAUUGGCUAGUUUAGUUUUCAAAAGAGUCCUGUCAAAAUUUUCUCUAAUUCUUAAAAUUUAUUUUUAAUUUUUAGUUUAAUUUAAUCUCUAGUUUUUGAGUAAUUUAAUUUAGAAUAAUUAAUUAGUUAAAUUUUCGAUAACUGAUACUCCCUCCGUCGCAGGCAUUUCUAUACAGUUUCCUUUUUGGGGUGUCCCAUCAUUUCUAUACAUUCCAAAAAUAGUAACUUUUAAUAAUAUAAAACACUAUCACACCAACUACUUUCUCCCACUAUCUUCAUUUUAUAAUAAUAUAAACACAAUUACACCCACUACUUCCCUCCACUAUCACAAAUCUAUAAUUAAAUACAAAUGGGUCCCGCCACUUUACCCACUUUUCAUCUAACUUUACUCAUUUUUUUUACACUUUUUCUUGGUCUCCGUGUCUACACUAAAUGUAUAUAAUCUAUUGGGACGGAGGGAGUAAUUAAUCAGAUUAGUUAAUUUGAAAAUCUUAGAUUUGAUUUAGAAAAACCCAUCUCCACUAAUCAUAUUGUUCUAAUUCGUCUAGAUUAGAAAAAAUAGGUAGCAAUCCUUGUGGUUCGAAUCUAAAAACACUAAAACGAGAUUGUGCGCUUGCGAUAUUGAAAAUUAUAUGUUUAGCACAUCAAAUUUUUGGCGCCGCAGCCGAGGAUUAUAAUAUAUUUUUCGCACCUUUAUUUUUAAUCAUUCAAAUUAGUUUAUUUCUCACUUUUUAUUGUUAUCUCGUGGAAUUUGGAAGAAUAUUCAGAAUCAAGGAUUAAGGUGGACAAUUUGCUUGGAAUUUUGGAAGCUUUGCUUUGAUAACCGUAUCGAUCUCCACUUGUCUAUAUUUGGGAAAACACAAAAAAUCUGAAAAUUGAAAAACAAAAACAAAUUGAAAAUUUAAAAUUCAAAAGUAUUAGAUAGAAAGAGGGCUACUCUAGUGAGAACUUUAAAUGGUGAGAACUGGAUACUGGGCUUAAAACAACUAGAUAUUGGCUUUAAAAUUAGGAACAGAAUUAGGCCCAUUAACGUAACCAUUCUAAACAUCGCGGUUUUAACAAACCAUUACCCACUCGAACUGUCACUAGCAAAUCACCCCCAAAUUACCCACCCAACCUGUCAAUCAGCGUGUUUUGCUGCUGAACGUUGCUGAACUCUGCUCAACGUUGCUGAAAUUGUUCUUGCAAAUUUCAUGCUUAGAUGACACAAACAUAUCUCGAGCAUUAAAAAAUUUGUUUCACUAAGUGAAAGGGAAGCAAGGUCUUUCCUGUAUAAAUUUGCAUAUGGCAGAUGGGAUAGAGAGCACAACUUCAAUGAUUAAGGGUGAAAUACUCAAAUGCAAUCCUUACACCUCACUUGAAUGAAUACAAAGAGAUUGAACCAAAGCGGGCAAAAGGUUUCUACAAAAAGAUUGCAAACAAGACACUCAUGUCCAUUCACUUGCAUCAAGUUCAAAGAAACCCAAGAACACAGAGAUUCAUGGAAAUGUUAUAUUUCCAGACAUUGAAACAGAACAUGAAGAAGCAUGAUGAAGUACCGGCUG